rnacentral:rRNA from 1 species
GAUGAAUGCUGGCGGCGUGCCUAACACAUGCAAGUCGAGCGGUAAGGCCCUUCGGGGUACACGAGCGGCGGACGGCUGAGUAACGCGUGGGAACAUACCCCAGAGUGAGGGAUAACGCACCGAAAGGUGUGCUAAUACCGCAUAAUCUCUUUGGAGCAAAGCAGUAAUGCGCUUUGGGAAGGGCCUGCGUACGAUUAGAUAGUUGGUGAGGUAAUGGCUUACCAAGUCGACGAUCGUUAGCUGGUCUGAGAGGAUGACCAGCCAGACUGGAACUGAGACACGGUCCAGACUCCUACGGGAGGCAGCAGUGAGGAAUCUUCCACAAUGGGGGCAACCCUGAUGGAGCAACGCCGCGUGCAGGAUGAAGGCCUUCGGGUCGUAAACUGCUUUUAUAAGUGAAGAAUAUGACGGUAACUUAUGAAUAAGCACCGGCUAACUACGUGCCAGCAGCCGCCGUAA